rnacentral:tRNA from 1 species
GCGGACGUGGCGGAAUUGGUAGACGCCCUAGAUUUAGGUCCUAGUGAGUUUUCUCGUGAGAGUUCGAGUCUCUCCGUCCGCA